GACGAACGCUGGCGGCGUGCUUAACACAUGCAAGUCGAACGGUAAGGCCCUUCGGGGUACACGAGUGGCGAACGGGUGAGUAACACGUGGGUGAUCUGCCCUGCACUUCGGGAUAAGCCUGGGAAACUGGGUCUAAUACCGGAUAGGACCACUGCCUGCAUGGGUGGUGGUGGAAAGCUUUUGCGGUGUGGGAUGGGCCCGCGGCCUAUCAGCUUGUUGGUGGGGUGAUGGCCUACCAAGGCGACGACGGGUAGCCGGCCUGGGCGGGUGACCGGGCACACUGGGACUGAGAUACGGCCCAGACUCCUACGGGAGGCAGCAGUGGGGAAUAUUGCACAAUGGGCGCAAGCCUGAUGCAGCGACGCCGCGUGAGGGAUGACGGCCUUCGGGUUGUAAACCUCUUUCAGCACCGACGAAGCGCAAGUGACGGUAGGUGCAGAAGAAGGACCGGCCAACUACGUGCCAGCCGCCGCGGUAA
rnacentral:rRNA from 1 species